rfam:Acidobacteriales bacterium 13_2_20CM_2_55_5 13_2_20cm_2_scaffold_2831, whole genome shotgun sequence.
AGAGUCAUACGAAUGUGAAGUAGCGACCCACAUCGGCCCCGAGUCAUGCGGAGCCGCCCGCGAGGGCGGAAGUACGGGCCGGGUAUUCAGCCGCGUAAGAAACUCACUCCGGGAUGCCGACGCUGUAAGGAGAUGCGGAAGGCCCCAUCUGAUGCACCGAUAUCGCGAGGUGAACCAGAGUCCCGCGCGGUCAGAGACCC